rnacentral:rRNA from 1 species
GCGGCCCGUCUUGUAACACGGACCAAGGAGUCUAACAUCUAUGCGAGUGUUUGGGUGUCAAGCCCGAGCGCGUAAUGAAAGUGAACGGAGGUGGGAACCCGCAAGGGUGCACCAUCGACCGAUCCUGAUGUCUUCGGAAGGAUUUGAGUAAGAGCAUGGCUGUUGGGACCCGAAAGAUGGUGAACUAUGCUUGAAUAGGGUGAAGCCAG